rnacentral:rRNA from 1 species
GAUGAACGCUGGCGGCGUGCCUAAUACAUGCAAGUCGAGCGAACAGAUAAGGAGCUUGCUCCUUUGACGUUAGCGGCGGACGGGUGAGUAACACGUGUAUAACCUACCUAUAAGACUGGGAUAACUUCGGGAAACCGGAGCUAAUACCGGAUAACAUAUUGAACCGCAUGGUUCAAUAGUGAAAUUCGGCUUUGCUGUCACUUAUCGAUGGAUCCGCGCCGUAUUAGAUAGUUGGUAAGGUAACGGCUUACCAAGGCAACGAUACGUAGCCGACCUGAGGGGGGGAUAGGCCACACUGGAACUGAGACAGGGUCCAGACUCCUACGGGAGGCCGCAGUAGGGAAUCUUACGCAAUGGGCGAAAGCCUGACGGAGCAACGCCGCGUGAGUGAUGAAGGUCCUCGGAUCGUAAGAAUCUGCUAUCAGGGAAGAACCAAUGUGUACGUAAAUGUGGACAUCUUGACGGUAACUGAUCAGAAAGCACCGGCUAACUACGUG